UGGGAUUACAGGCAUGUGCACCGCACCCAGUGACUCUUGUCAUUUUUAAUCACAUCAGGAGAUAGUCUUUUAAAAAAGAAAAGCAGCCCAAGUAGACUUUUGGAGGAGUUACACAAGAAGAUAAAAUAAGACCUAGAGGAUCAAGACAUAAUGGGAGCAUUUUUAGACAAGCCAAAGAUGGAAAAGCAUAAUGCCCAGGGGCAGGGUAAUGGGUUGCGAUAUGGGCUAAGCAGCAUGCAAGGUUGGCGAGUUGAAAUGGAGGAUGCACAUACGGCUGUGAUCGGUUUGCCAAGUGGACUUGAAACAUGGUCAUUCUUUGCUGUGUAUGAUGGGCAUGCUGGUUCUCAGGUUGCCAAAUACUGCUGUGAGCAUUUGUUAGAUCACAUCACCAAUAACCAGGAUUUUAAAGGGUCUGCAGGAGCACCUUCUGUGGAAAAUGUAAAGAAUGGAAUCAGAACAGGUUUUCUGGAAAUUGAUGAACACAUGAGAGUUAUGUCAGAGAAGAAACAUGGUGCAGAUAGAAGUGGGUCAACAGCUGUGGGUGUCUUAAUUUCUCCCCAACAUACUUAUUUCAUUAACUGUGGAGACUCAAGAGGUUUACUUUGUAGGAACAGGAAAGUUCACUUCUUCACACAAGAUCAUAAACCAAGUAAUCCGCUGGAAAAAGAACGAAUUCAGAAUGCAGGUGGCUCUGUAAUGAUUCAGCGUGUGAAUGGUUCUCUGGCUGUAUCAAGGGCCCUUGGGGAUUUUGAUUACAAAUGUGUCCAUGGAAAAGGUCCUACAGAGCAGCUUGUCUCACCAGAGCCUGAAGUUCAUGAUAUUGAAAGAUCUGAAGAAGAUGAUCAGUUCAUUAUUCUUGCAUGUGAUGGUAUCUGGGAUGUUAUGGGAAAUGAAGAGCUCUGUGAUUUUGUAAGAUCCAGACUUGAAGUCACUGAUGAUCUUGAGAAAGUUUGCAAUGAAGUAGUCGACACCUGUUUGUAUAAGGGAAGUCGAGACAACAUGAGUGUGAUUUUGAUCUGUUUUCCAAAUGCACCCAAAGUAUCACCAGAAGCAGUGAAGAAGGAGGCAGAGUUGGACAAGUACCUGGAAUGCAGAGUAGAAGAAAUCAUAAAGAAGCAGGGAGAAGGCGUCCCCGACUUAGUCCAUGUGAUGCGCACAUUAGCAAGUGAGAACAUCCCCAGCCUCCCACCAGGAGGUGAAUUGGCAAGCAAGCGGAAUGUAAUUGAAGCUGUUUACAAUAGACUGAAUCCUUACAAAAAUGAUGAYGCUAGCUGUUCACUGCACCCAUUCUCUUACACACACCCCUGAUUGAUUGCUCUGAACUCUGCUUGCUCUGAUCUCUGCCUGCACCACAGUACUAGUGAUUGAGGACAUAAUCUUGGACUCAGCAUCAACUGAUGACAUGUGGUAAAACUGCUCAUCUAGCCAUGGAGUUUACCUUCACUUCCAAAGGAGAGUGCAACUCAACUUUGUUGAACCUUUUAGCAUCCAGCCUCAACUUAAGGAAGGGGAUAUGACAUGGGUGAGAGUGAUUACACCAGAGAACUUCAGCAGUACAACAGCUAGCCCAGAACUGAUUUUCUUUUCUUUUUUUUUUUGUAAAUUUGAGACUUAUGUAAACGUGAUUUCAAACCAUAAUUCAUGUUGUAAAUCAGACUCCAGCAAUUUUUGUUGUAUGAUUUUUUUUUUGUAAAGUGUAAUUGUCCUUGUACAAAAUGCUCAUAUUUAAUUAUGAACUGCUUUAAAAUCACUAUCGAAGAUAAAAGAAAUGUUUGGCUUGUUGUGUGAUGCAACAGAUAUAUAGCCCUUUCAAGUCAUGUUAUAUUUGGAUUUGGGGUUGGGACAGGGAGAGCAGCAGCCAUGUCAGCUAGGUGCUCAAACAUGCACAUGAUUAUGGAGAAGAAUUUCAAAAUCUUACAAAGCUGAAUAUCCCAGGAGUGAUGGAAAACUAUCUUAAUGUUCUUGGCAAGGGAUUGGCAUUGUUGAUAAAGCCACUCUCUUUAUUUAACUGUGUUUCAGAAUGUUCUCUCCUUGUUGCUAUGAGUAUUGCAGGUAAUACAGUAUAUUCAUAAGAAUAUCAAUCUUGGGGCUAAAAUGCCUUGAUUCUUUGCACCUCUUUUACAAGUCCUUACAUUUAAUUACUAAUUGAUAAGCAGCAGCUUCCUACAUAUAGUAGGAGACUGCCACAUUUUUGCUAUCAUGAUUGGCUGGGCCUGCUGCUGUUCCUAGUAAGAUAUUCUGAAUUCCAUUUUAUCAAUAAAGCUUGAUUUAACAAACAAGAAAUUUAAUCAUGUAUGUGUAAUUCCUCUUUUACCCCGGCCUUUUAAAACACCAUACCAUUGUAAAUGAGAUGUUCUCAAAGGGAAAGAUGUUAGUCUCUUUUAAUUUGACAAUACUGUUUCAGUCACCAAUGAAAUUGUUUUCCUUCCAUUAGAAAACCUUAAAAGAUUUAAGUCUCUCUUGUUCCUUAAUUUGUUUUUCAAAAUAAGUUUCUUUCAGGCUGCUUACUUUUCAUUAAGAUGUACAUCAGCUUGAAUUUGCCUACUGUUUAAUUAAAUAAUUGUCAAAGUUUGACAAUCUAACUCUCUAUGGUAGGUAUGUGUGUGUUUGUGUGUGUUUGCCUGUGACUUUUAAUUGGCCCAUGUCUUUAGAAUCCAAGUGGUUAAGAUGUAUUUGUGAUUUGAAAUAUAGCAUGUUGAUAAUAUUUAGCUGUUGGCCUUUAAAAAUAAAUUUCAAAGCUUAAGGAAUUGUAGAUAUAAACCUAAUUUAAUUUAGGCUUAAAUUUUUCUGAUUAAGCAUGUGAAAGUAAGUUUUACAAUCUGUCACAUUGAAAAGACUACUGUUCUGUGCCCUUUUGUAUUUUUGUCUUUCUAGGUUGAAUAUUGUAUUUAUUAUCAUGUAAAUGAAUCAGUUAGUAAGCAGAUUCCCCACUAGAAAACUACUAAAAUGUAAGAUUAAAAUACAGCAUUAAAUACAAAAUCAGAAUUUUGUGUAUAAAGCUAGUAUAAUACAUUUUGUUUUGUUUGUUUUCCCUAACUUGGAAAUAUACAUAUUUGUAUAUAUAGCCUUAAAACUAAUGUAAAGUUAGGGAACCUAGUAGGAAAAGUAAUGUAAAAUGUCUCAGAUUUAAGUAGUUACAUACCAGCAAACUCUUUUCAAUAUCCCUCUUAUUUGUGAGGUGAUUAAAUGUAAUUUAAUUGUAUUUAAUUUAUCUCUUAAUCCAGCAUGAAUGAAGAAAAACUGAAGUACUAUUUAUAUUUAGAAAUUCAGAAAAGUUGGAAUUACAGAACCAAUUCCUUACUUAACUUACAAUAAAUGCUUAAUGUCUAAAUCUGUGGUAAAGUGCGAAGUAUGAUAAUGUUCUAAGUUAUGACUUUGCAAGCAUUUAAAUUUGCACUUAAUGAAUACCAGUGCUUCUAGUGUAGAUUUGAUUACCAAACAUGCCAGUACUAAAAGCUAACCUCCCUAUCACAACAAACCAGUUCCUUAACUUUUUAAUAAAUAACCAAAAGUUUUUAGUUUCAUAAUUUGCAAAAUAUUUAACUGGAUUGUGGUAUCUUUUAGAUGCAAAACUUGAACCAUAAGUAAAACAYGUGAUGGGAAGCUAUAUUUCAAACCAUAAUAGCAUAGCAUAGCAUAGCAUAUUAUAACUUUUUUUUUGAGAGUCUUUUAAACAAAAGAGAAAAUUAAGAUACUCCUCUGUUAAARUUUUUAAUAUUGAAAUUGGCCUGAAAUGUGAGAAGACUGUGUUUAAAUUUGAUUUAAGAAGACUAAAUCUUUUCCAUAUGAGUCAACACUGCCGUACAAAAUAUAACUUUCCAUUUUAAAAAUGCAGAAAGGAACUUUACAUUGUGCUAGCAGACUGCUUGACUCCUAGGGGUAAUGGUCAUGGUGAGAAACAACCACAUUUAAAAGGCAUUUUUGCACCUCUUCUGUGCACUUCAUUUUUGUACCUCUUGAAUUCUCAGCCCCCACUGUUUUUUAAUACUAAUUAGCAUCUCAGGGCAUUGCCUCAGAAUUUUUGGUGUAUUCUAUGUUUUUUUUUUGGGGGGGGGGGAGGUGGUUCUUAUCUGAGGAUAUAUAGAUUUAUUAAGAUUAAACUUUCAUUUAGGUAUCAUAUUAUGAUAAACCCAGUUUACUGCUGUUAACCAGAAAUUCAGUUUUGUAUAGCCAGAUUCUUACUACCUAACAUUAAAAUAUUUCACUUAUCUAAUUCUUAUUAUUUUAACAAGAUCUCCCUAAUUUUCACCUUCUUUAGGAAUAUACUUUUACAGAUAACAGAAGCAGUUCUCAGUAUUAUCUUUUAAAAAUUAAAUCAAAGUGGUAUUUUUCUUAUUCAGUUUUAGAACUAUCCUCAAACAUUUUUAAUUGUAACAAUUUAUUUCUAGAGAACUAUGCAAUUGUUCCAGGUUAAUUUUUAUGCAAACGUCAUAACAUUAAGAAAUUUGGAUUAGAGAAUAUAUCAGUUAUAUAAUUCAAAUAAUCCAAAUUAUAAUGGUCAUACAUUUGACCAUAUAUUAAUCUUUCUAAUAACUCAGUUUUUCCACAAACUGUUAUCUACAAAACACUGAUCUAGGUUAAAUUCCUUAGGACUGUAAAUAGAUUGAAUGGGUCAUUAUCUUCAAGGAGUUUCCAUUUGGGCAAAAUUAAUAACCUAAAGAUAUGUUAGUAUUAUAACUGGAUUACUCAUCAAAAUAUAUAUAUAUAUAUAUAUUUUGCCCACCUUCUGUUUGUCAGGUACUUUACUGAACAAAAGGUAUGCUUCUGCCCUAAAGGGCUCAUUUUGUUGCWUUUAUUCACCUGAAAACUAUUGUUUCUUUUCUCCUCCCCAAAGUUAAAAAUCUCAAAAGAAAAUUUAGCUCCGCAUAAGAGUAAAAUUGGACUGAUGAAGCAAGGCUUAAGUCUAUUUAAGCAUUCUUGAUUAUCUAUAACAAAUGACCUUCACUUAUUCUGUUGGCAGCAGCAAGUCAGAAAUAAGUCAUAGAUUUCUUAGAAUUUUCCAAUCCUGAGAAUACAGGUGGGAUUUGAGGGAGGGCAUUUAAAAAAAUAAGUAUCUCUAGCUAAAUUGAUCUUGUUUAAGUAAAACUUUUUUGUGUUCUUUCUUUUAAUAACAUAGUGCCCKUGUUGAUACCACAUUUUAGCCAAAUGAUUACCAUUAAGUAAUCACUAACCAUCUUUACUGGACAAAUUCAUCUGGGAAUUCAAUGUGUGAUUUCUGAAAGAACUGAUGAAAUUGGGUACUAAUUUCCUUCUAGUUUUAUUUUAAUUUUGAAUUUCAUGGCAUAUACUUUUAGCUCAACUUUGUAUUUUAGUAUUGUAUUAGGAUUUGGUACUAGAAAGGAUAAGUAAACAUUUCAGUAUAUAAAUAUUUAUUAUUUGGGUUUCUUAGGGAGUUUCAUAUACUUUUGCUUAUAAAUACUGAUAAGUUGGCCAUUUUUAAAUUGACUACUCACAGUUUUUAGGCAUCAGGAAGUCUACUUCAUGUUUUAAAAUUUUARAAGCCUAAUUUUACUUUAUUUCCUUAAAUAAUGUGCCAUGUGUUUUGGUUAGUAUUUGUUUUUAAAUUAUAUAUUCAGAGAGUAUGCUUGAAAUAUUUAASAACACAUUUCCUAAAUGUAUGAUACUGUAUUAUUUGGUCAAAAAAAUACAUCAGCUAAGUGUUAGUUAUUACUGUCAAGAAGCUCUUCAGAAAUAAGGAGAGGCAUUGGCUCUGCUUUAUUGUCAAGUGAGCAUUUUCCACUUUUGUUCACCUCAAUACAAACUCUUCCUUUAAUCUAUUUUAUAUAUUAAGCUAGUGGCCUCUGCUCUCAUGGUUUCCUAUUUAUAUUAACUAGUGGAUGGGGGUGCUAAUUAGAAAAACUCAGAUUCAGAUUGCAGUUGACAGCUUACACUUUUAUGAGAGGGGGGGAAAAGGUUGUUUAAGUUAAUAAAAAAGUGACAUUUUUUCUUAUCUUGCAUGAAAAUAUUGCCCUCAUUUCCUCUCAGUGUGUCUGUGUCUCUCUCUCACUACCACCACCACCACCCCCAUUUUUCCCUGCCCCUCAUCCAAAUAGGCCAAUUCCAUUUUCUUGAACAAGAAAGUUUAAACUCAUUACCUCAUUAAGGCCAAUUAGUACUUUAUUAAACUGGGUUGAAAAUAAGAAAACUUGGGAUAGAGUGGUAAGAACCUUGACCUGGCUGUAGAUGUUUAAAAAAAAAAAAAAACUAUUAUGCCACAUAA